GGCUACCUAGAUCGGGUACCACUGGAACGGUGGCUAAUACCGGAUGGUGCCGAGAGGUGAAAGAUUUAUUGCCUGAAGAUGAGCUCGCGUCUGAUUAGCUAGUUGGUGGGGUAAGAGCCUACCAAGGCGACGAUCAGUAGCUGGUCUGAGAGGAUGAUCAGCCACACUGGGACUGAGACACGGCCCAGACUCCUACGGGAGGCAGCAGUGGGGAAUUUUCCGCAAUGGGCGAAAGCCUGACGGAGCAAUACCGCGUGAGGGAGGAAGGCUCUUGGGUUGUAAACCUCUUUUCUCAGGGAAUAAAAAAAUGAAGGUACCUGAGGAAUAAGCAUCGGCUAACUCCGUGCCAGCAGCCGCGGUAAUACGGAGGAUGCAAGCGUUAUCCGGAAUGAUUGGGCGUAAAGCGUCCGCAGGUGGCUGUGUAAGUCUGCUGUUAAAGAGUCUAGCUCAACUAGAUAAGAGCAGUGGAAACUACAUGGCUAGAGUGCGUUCGGGGCAGAGGGAAUUCCUGGUGUAGCGGUGAAAUGCGUAGAGAUCAGGAAGAACACCGGUGGCGAAAGCGCUCUGCUAGGCCGCAACUGACACUGAGGGACGAAAGCUAGGGGAGCGAAUGGGAUUAGAUACCCCCGGUAGUCA
rnacentral:rRNA from 1 species